rnacentral:rRNA from 1 species
CUGAUAAAGUUAAAUUAAAGGGCCGCAGUAUAUUGACUGUGCAAAGGUAGCAUAAUCGUUAGGUUUUUAAUUGAAAUCUUGUAUGAAUGGUUUGACAAAAAAAAAUCUGUCUUUAUAAUUAUUUAUUGAAUUUAACUUUUAAGUGAAAAGACUUAAAUAAAUUAAGAAGACGAUAAGACCCUAUGAAGCUUUAUAAUAUAAAUUAUUUAUUAAUUAAAAUUUAUUUAAAAUAAAGAUUUAAUAAAAUUAAUUUUUUAUUUUGUUGGGGCGACAAUGGUAAAAUGAUUAUUAACUGUUAUUUUUUUUUARACAAUAUAAGUGAAUAAUAAUUUUAUAAAGGAUCCUAUAUUAAAGAUUAAAAGUUUAAGUUACUUUAGGGAUAACAGCGUUAUUUUUUUUGAGAGUUCUUAUCGAAAAAAAAGUUUGCGACCUCGAUGUUGAAUUAAAAUAUCUAUAUAAUUGUAGUAGUUAUAUAARAAGGUCUGUUCGACCUUUAAAAUUUUA